rnacentral:rRNA from 1 species
UAGAUGCGAGAGUAGAGCAUAUCAAUAAGCGGAGGAAAAGAAACUAACAAGGAUUCCCUUAGUAACGGCGAGUGAAGCGGGAAGAGCUCAAAUUUGAAAUCUUCAAGGUUCUACCUUGACGAAUUGUAGUUUAUAGAAGUGUUUUCUGUUAGUAGAGUGGCAAAAGUUCUUUGGAAUAGGACAUCAUAGAGGGUGAGAAUCCCGUAUUUGGUCAUUCCUUCCUAGCUGUUGUGAUACACUUUCAACGAGUCGGAUUGUUUGGGAAUGCAGUCCAAAAUGGGUGGUAAAUUUCAUCUAAAGCUAAAUAUUGGCGAGAGACCGAUAGCGAACAAGUACCGUGAGGGAAAGAUGAAAAGAACUUUGAAAAGAGAGUUAAACAGUACGUGAAAUUGUCAAAAGGGAAGCGUUUGACACCAGUGUUGUUUUUCCGAAAAUCAAUUAUGAAUGGCUUGAUUUUAAGUUUCAUGACCUUAAAAGCUUGUUUCUUAUUUUUCAUGUCUUUCGUAAUGCACUUUUCGGUUAACAAGUCAACAUCAAUUUCUUUUGUUGUAAAAGGUUAAGAGGAAGGUGGCUUUACUUUCGGGUAAAGUGUUUAUAGCCUUUUAACUCUGCAAUCGGAGAGAUUGAGGUCUGCAGCGUAGAUCCUUCGGGGUUAGAUACGUUUGUGCUAAGUUAUAGCUUUUCAUAGACAACUUGUUGACUAUGUUAAGUCUUGUAAUUUACUCGCAGAUGCUAUUUUACCUACGCUUAGGAUGUUGACGCGCGUGUGUGCGUG